UCAUCCUCCCCAUCCCCUCCCCAGCAGAGCUUCUGUGAUUCAGACAUGAGCAGGAUCACUGUGGCAGAGAGACUGGGAAAAGUGGGGAUCUUCUGGUGCCUACUGCAAAAUUCUCUGUUCUCUUGUCCCUAAAAGUAUGUCACCAUUAACACCUCAGACUUGUAGCUAGUUAUCUCCUUUCCAUGAUUCUGGUAAGCAAGU